AACGAACGCUGGCGGCAUGCCUAACACAUGCAAGUCGAACGAGACCUUCGGGUCUAGUGGCGCACGGGUGCGUAACGCGUGGGAACCUGCCCUUAGGUUCGGAAUAACUCCCCGACAGGGGUGCUAAUACCGGAUAAUGUCUUCGGACCAAAGAUUUAUCGCCUUUGGAUGUGCAAGCGUUGGAUUAGCUAGUUGGUAGGGUAAAAGCCUACCAAGGCAACGAUGCAUAGCUGGUCUGAGAGGGUGAUCAGCCACACUGUGAGUGAGACACGGCCCAGACUCUGGCGGUGGGACGCAGCAGGGAAUCCUACGGAAGGGGGGAAAGGCUGAUGUUGGAAAGUGGCGGGAAGCAUGAACGACCUAGGCUGGGAAAGUGAUGUAGGUAGGAGAGUAGAAAAGCUUUUUUACCCGGGAUCAUAAUGACGGUACCGAAAGAAUAAGCCCCGGCUAACUCCGUG
rnacentral:rRNA from 1 species